rnacentral:rRNA from 1 species
GACGAACGCUGGCGGCGUGCCUAAUACAUGCAAGUCGAGCGAAUCAAUAGGAGCUUGCUCCUGUUGGUUAGCGGCGGACGGGUGAGUAACACGUGGGCAACCUGCCUGUAAGACUGGGAUAACUUCGGGAAACCGGAGCUAAUACCGGAUAAUCCUUUUCCACUCAUGUGGGAAAGCUGAAAGUCGGUUUCGGCUGACACUUGCAGAUGGGCCCGCGGCGCAUUAGCUAGUUGGUGAGGUAACGGCUCACCAAGGCGACGAUGCGUAGCCGACCUGAGAGGGUGAUCGGCCACACUGGGACUGAGACACGGCCCAGACUCCUACGGGAGGCAGCAGUAGGGAAUCUUCCGCAAUGGACGAAGGUCUGACGGAGCAACGCCGCGUGAGCGAUGAAGGCCUUCGGGUCGUAAAGCUCUGUUGUUAGGGAAGAACAAGUAUCGGAGUAACUGCCGGUACCUUGACGGUACCUAACCAGAAAGCCACGGCUAACUACGUGCCAGCCGCCGCCGUAAAAC